AUCUCGCUGAUACAAAAUCUGGUAUGAAACAUCCAAAAGAAUAUGAGUUGUGCAUGAAGGAAUCUACAGACAGCAGCCCAAAUGCAGCAACUUCAGGUACGACAGAAAAAAAAAAAAAUGCUGUGGACGUUGUUUCCUUCAUGAAUGAGUUUACUGUUUUAAUGACCCGAGGAUGGGAGUAGGAUUUGGUAUUUGGUUUCCGCAGAAUCGUAACCAGUGGAUUCGGUAUUCGGUCGAACCCCAAAAAUCUGGAUUUGGUGCAUCCCUAUCACAAACUAAAUA